rnacentral:rRNA from 1 species
CAAUAGCGUAUAUUAAAGUUGUUGCAGUUAAAAAGCUUGUAGUUGAAUUUCUGGCGGGCGCGCCGGUCUUCCAAGUGUUGUACUGGGCGCAGUCCGCCAUCCUUGUGGAGAGGGCUCGCAUUGAGUUGCGUGUCGGAUCUGCAUCAUUUACUGUGAAAAAAUUAGAGUGUUUAAAGCAGGCUGUCGCUUGAAUACAUUAGCAUGGAAUAAUAAGAUAGGACUUCGGUCUAUUUUGUUGGUUGCGAACCGAGGUAAUGAUUAAUAGGGAUAGUUGGGGGUAUUCAUAUUUAAUUGUCAGAGGUGAAAUUCUUGGAUUUAUGAAAGAUGAACAACUGCGAAAGCAUUUACCAAGGAUGUUUUCAUUAA